UACGGAGGGUGCAAACGUUGCUCGGAAUCAUUGGGCGUAAAGCGCACGUAGGUGGUUUGUUAAGUCGGGGGUGAAAGCCCUGGGCUCAACCCAGGAAGUGCAUUCGAAACUGGCAGACUUGAGUACUGAAGAGGGUCGCGGAAUUCCCGGUGUAGAGGUGAAAUUCGUAGAUAUCGGGAGGAACACCAGUGGCGAAGGCGGCGACCUGGGCAUAACUGACGCUGAGGAACGAAAGCCAGGGUAUCAAAAGGG
rnacentral:rRNA from 1 species